rnacentral:rRNA from 1 species
CGGCGGACGGCUGAGUAACGCGUGGGAACAUGCCCCAAAGUGAGGAAUAACUGCCCGAAAGGGUAGCUAAUGCCGCAUAUGAUCUUCGGAUUAAAGGAUUUAUCCGCUUUGGGAGUGGCUCGCGUACGAUUAGGUAGUUGGUGAGGUAAAGGCUCACCAAGCCGACGAUCGUUAACUGGUCUGAGAGGAUGAUCAGUCAGACUGGAACUGAGACACGGUCCAG